CCCCGUCCACCAAGGCUCCCAAUAUUACCAUCGAUGGAGAGCAACUGAUAUAGCAGGAGAAGUAGUGGAGGUUAGGUCUGGAGUCACAAAAUUUAAAGCUGGUGACAAAGUUGUAGCCGUGCUUAGUCAUUUUGUGGUUGAUGUUUAUGCGUUGAUUGGGGAUGUUUCUGGUCUUGCUGAAAAGAUACAAAGCUUCUUUGUGCAGGAGGUUCUCUCAGUAACCCAUUCUGUCUUGAAAAAUAUUUUGCAGGAGGACCUGGAAACUUCCAAUAUGCAAAGUAGUAGUUCCAGACUUACCUACAGUGAUCUAUGCCAUCAAAUACCUGAAUCCAAGUUUAGGCAAUGUUUAUUGACAACACUAGCUGCCCUUUUUAAAUUGAUGAGUUCAUAUCAUGCAAUCAUGAGCUUUCAACUAGCGGAUAAGGUAAAAACUAUCGUCAUCACUG